rnacentral:rRNA from 1 species
UUAUUAGCUAUCCGUACCGUAAACCGACACUGGUAGUUGAGGAGAGAAUCCUAAGGUGUUCGAGUGAUUCUUGACCAAGGAACUCGGCAAAUUUGCCCCGUAACUUCGGGAAAUGGGGUGCCUAAUUUAUCAUCUUAACCGAUGAUGAGAGGUCGCAGUGAAAAGGCCCAAGCGACUGUUUACCAAAAACACAGGGCUUUGCAAAAUCGAAAGAUAAAGUAUAAGGCCUGAUACCUGCUCAGUGCUGGAAGGUUAAGGGGAGAUGUUAGUCUUCGGACAAAGCAUUGAACUGAAGCCCCAGUAACCAGCGGCCGUAACUAUAACGGUCCUAAGGUAGCGAAAUUCCUUGUCGGGUAAGUUCCGACCUGCACGAAUGGUUUAACGACUUGGGCACUGUCUCGGUCAAGAGCUCGGUGAAAUUGUAGUAGCGGUGAAGAUGCCGCUUACCCGCAACGGGACGAAAAGACCCCAUGAACCUUUACUAUAGCUUAAUAUUGGAAAUAUGUAUACUAUGUGUAGCGUAGAUGGGAGGCUAUGAAGCUGUGUCGUUAGGCAUGGCGGAGCCACAAUUGGAAUACCAUCCUUAGUAUAUGUGUUACCUAAUCCCUGAUAACAGGGAGACAGUGUUUGGUGGGUAGUUUGACUGGGGCGGUCGCCUCCUAAAAAGUAACGGAGGCUUUUCAAAGGUACCCUCAGCACGGGUGGUAAUCGUGCGUAGAGUGCAAUAGCAUAAGGGUGCUUGACUGUGAGACUUACAAGUCGAUCAGGAUCGAAAGAUGGAUAUAGUGAUCCGGUGGUUCCGCAUGGAAGGGCCAUCGCUCAAAGGAUAAAAGGUACUCUGGGGAUAACAGGCUAAUCUCUCCCAAGCGCCCAUAGCGACGGGGAGGUUUGGCACCUCGAUGUCGGCUCGUCACAUCCUGGGGGUGGAGAAGCUCCCAAGGGUUGGUCUGUUCGCCCAUUAAAGUGGCACGCGAGCUGGGUUCAAAACGUCGUGAGACAGUUUGGUCUCUAUCUGUUGUGGGCGUCGGAAGUUUGAGGAGGGCCGAACCUAGUACGAAAGGACCGGGUUGGGCAAACCGCUGGUGUAUCAGUUGUGACGUCAGUUGCACCGCUGAGUAGCUAUGUUUGUAAGAGAUAAGUACUGAAAGCAUCUAAGUACGAAACUCGCUCCAAGAUUAGACUUCUUUAAGGGUGGUCAUAGACGAUGACCUUGAUAGGUUGCAGGUGUAAAGCUAGUAAUGGCAAAGCCGAGCAAUACUAAUUGCUC